GUGAGCGUAGCCAAGCUUUAUUUAUUUCACUCUCUCUCUCUCUCUCUCUCUCUCUAUAUAUAUAUAUAUAGAGAGAGAGAGAGAGUGAAAUAAAUAAAACUUGGCUACAUCGUAGCU